AAUCUUGCGCAAUGGGCGAAAGCCUGACGCAGCAACGCCGCGUGCGGGACGAAGGCCUUCGGGUUGUAAACCGCUUUCAGCAGGGACGAAGCUGACGGUACCUGCAGAAGAAGCCCCGGCCAACUACGUGCCAGCAGCCGCGGUAACACGUAGGGGGCGAGCGUUGUCCGGAUUUAUUGGGCGUAAAGAGCUCGUAGGCGGUUUCGUAAGUCGGGUGUGAAAACUCCAGGCUCAACCUGGAGACGCCACCCGAUACUGCGAUGACUAGAGUCCGGUAGGGGAGCGUGGAAUUCCUGGUGUAGCGGUGAAAUGCGCAGAUAUCAGGAGGAACACCAACGGCGAAGGCAGCGCUCUGGGCCGGAACUGACGCUGAGGAGCGAAAGCGUGGGUAGCGAACAGG
rnacentral:rRNA from 1 species